CCUACGGGUGGCAGCAGUGAGGAAUAUUGGUCAAUGGGCUUACGCCUGAACCAGCCAAGUCGCGUGAGGGAAGACUGCCCUAUGGGUUGUAAACCUCUUUUGUCAGGGAGCAACGCCGGCUACGUGUAGCCGGACUGAGAGUACCUGAAGAAAAAGCAUCGGCUAACUCCGUGCCAGCAGCCGCGGUAAUACGGAGGAUGCGAGCGUUAUCCGGAUUUAUUGGGUUUAAAGGGUGCGUAGGCGGAAUGCCAAGUCAGCGGUAAAAUCGGGGGGCUAAACCUCGCCCCGCCGUUGAAACUGGCAGUCUUGAGUUGGAGAGAAGGAUGCGGAAUGCGGGGUGUAGCGGUGAAAUGCAUAG
rnacentral:rRNA from 1 species